rnacentral:rRNA from 1 species
ACGUAGGGGGCGAGCGUUGUCCGGAUUCAUUGGGCGUAAAGAGCUCGUAGGCGGUUCGGCAAGUCGGGUGUGAAAACUCCAGGCUCAACCUGGAGACGCCACCCGAUACUGCUGUGACUCGAGUCCGGUAGGGGACCACGGAAUUCCUGGUGUAGCGGUGAAAUGCGCAGAUAUCAGGAGGAACACCGGUGGCGAAGGCGGUGGUCUGGGCCGGCACUGACGCUGAGGAGCGAAAGCGUGGGGAGCGAACAGGA